rnacentral:rRNA from 1 species
UACAGAGGGUGCAAGCGUUGUUCGGAAUCAUUGGGCGUAAAGCGCGCGUAGGCGGGCUGCUAAGUCGGAUGUGAAAGCCCCAGGCUCAACCUGGGAAGUGCAUUCGAAACUGGUGGCCUUGAGUGUCGGAGAGGGUGGUGGAAUUCCGAGUGUAGAGGUGAAAUUCGUAGAUAUUCGGAGGAACACCCGUGGCGAAGGCGGCUCUCUGGGACGGUACUGACGCUGAGACGCGAAAGCGUGGGGAGCGAACAGG